GAUGAACGCUGGCGGCGUGCCUAAUACAUGCAAGUCGAGCGAACGGACGAGGAGCUUGCUCCUCUGACGUUAGCGGCGGACGGGUGAGUAACACGUGGAUAACCUACCUAUAAGACUGGGAUAACUUCGGGAAACCGGAGCUAAUACCGGAUAAUAUAUUGAACCGCAUGGUUCAAUAGUGAAAGACGGUUUUGCUGUCACUUAUAGAUGGAUCCGCGCCGCAUUAGCUAGUUGGUAAGGUAACGGCUUACCAAGGCGACGAUGCGUAGCCGACCUGAGAGGGUGAUCGGCCACACUGGAACUGAGACACGGUCCAGACUCCUACGGGAGGCAGCAGUAGGGAAUCUUCCGCAAUGGGCGAAAGCCUGACGGAGCAACGCCGCGUGAGUGAUGAAGGUCUUCGGAUCGUAAAACUCUGUUAUUAGGGAAGAACAAAUGUGUAAGUAACUAUGCACGUCUUGACGAUACCUAAUCAGAAAGCCACGGCUAACUACGUG
rnacentral:rRNA from 1 species